rnacentral:rRNA from 1 species
UACGUAGGGUGCAAGCGUUGUCCGGAAUUAUUGGGCGUAAAGAGCGUGUAGGCGGCUUGGAAGGUCAGCUGUGAAAACUCGAGGCUCAACCUCGAGACGUCGGUUGAAACCACCUGGCUAGAGUCCGGAAGAGGAGAGUGGAAUUCCCGGUGUAGCGGUGAAAUGCGCAGAUAUCGGGAGGAACACCAAUGGCGAAGGCAGCUCGCUGGGACGUUACUGACGCUGAGACGCGAAAGCGUGGGGAGCAAACAGG